rnacentral:pre_miRNA from 1 species
AGGAGGAACAGCCCCAGUGGACGGGGCAGCUCUGGAAACCUGGAUUCAGCUCCGGCAGGAACUCCGUCUGCAGGGCCUGGAGGCUCCGGGGCGGG